UCACAGUUGCCACCUUCAACCAUUAAGCAGCAGAUAGAGCAGAAUCCGAUCAUACUAAAAUGGCACUCCCCUCGUUAAUAUUCACAGCCCCAAGAGCCCAGGAUUCCCAAAUCUUCACCCCCAAAUUGUCUUCAACUGUUAAAUCCGCUCCUUCUUCUUCUUCUUCUUCUUCAGUUUCUGCUUCUAAGAAGGCAAUAUGCAAUAUGGGCAUUGGGCUUCUGGCUGCUUCGGUUCUGGCUCUGUCUCCCAUGGAUGCCAGCGCAACCAGAAUUGAAUACUAUGCGACUGUUGGGGAUCCUCUAUGCGAGUUCAAUUAUGUGCCUUCUGGGCUUGGCUAUUGUGACAUCGCCCUGGGUUCCGGUGAGAAAGUUCCUUAUGGUGAGCUUAUCAAUGUUCAUUACACUGCACGGUUUGCUGAUGGGAUAGUGUUUGACAGCAGCUAUAAGCGUGCUAGACCUCUCACCAUGCGUAUUGGUGUUGGCAAGGUAAUAAGAGGAUUGGAUCAGGGAAUAUUAGGGGGUGAAGGAGUACCUCCAAUGCUAGUAGGUGGCAAACGUAAGCUUCAGAUUCCUCCACAUUUAGCAUAUGGACCAGAACCAGCAGGCUGCUUUUCAGGUGACUGCAAUAUACCUGGCAAUGCAACUCUUGUGUAUGAUAUAAAUUUCGUUGGAGUCUACUCAGGAAAUAGAAAGUGAAGGAAAUGAUGUCCAUUUUCCUACUAAUUUGUUGAAGAUAGACAACGCAGAGUAUCCAGAAUUUAAGUCGAAGCUAACUGGCAAUGCAAAAGAAGUGUACAUCUUUCUGAAAUUUCCAAGGAUCUGGAACCCAAGCUGAAUAUUAAGGCAGAAUACUUGGUUUUUCUCCAAAUACCCACCAGAAGGAUUAACAGUCCAUUUUAGCUGAAAAUCCCAUCUGGACAUGGUUGAAAUUGCUCAUUUUCAAUCAGCAAAACAUGUACUUGAUGUUUUUACAAGCUAUGACAGUAUUUACAUGCCGGGUGCUAUUAUACUUUGUAAAAGUAGUCAGUAACUUUUUCAAAUGGAAUCAAAUGGGCACAUUUGUUCGAACA